rnacentral:lncRNA from 1 species
GGGAAGCACGGGAGCGACGCUGGGACAACAACUUCACUUUGCUACCCUGCUUCCAACAGACAGCACCCAUGCACCCCAAACUCUUGGCAAAAAGGGGUGCUUUCCCCUUCCCCCCCCCCCCCCCCCCCAACACCCCCCUUGUUUUUUUCUUAAUUCUUUGCAAAACUUCAGCCUUCUCUCGUGCAACUUCAGCCCGAGGCACAGCGGCGACUUUCUGUCCGCCGAUGGGGUCGCCACCUGCAAGGCUGUGCCGGCAACCCUGCUCUGUUGUUGCUGGGUGGCUCUGGGGGCUCUGCAGGUCCCACUGUUACUGUGGGGCUGCCUCUGCCCCCCUCUCCAGCCCCCGCCAGGCUGCCUUGCCCCACGGCUUCCUACUCGCCCCACCCAUGUUUACAUACGAUCAACCAGGCGGCCGCAGCCUCCUGCACAAAGGGCAGAGUCCUCCUCGG